rnacentral:misc_RNA from 1 species
AUGUCAUUGAUUGAUUGUCCAAUAGAAUAUAAAGCUCUUUGGUAAAUUUAAAAUAAAACUUAUGUGACUGUAAAUAAAUUUUUUAAAUCGUACCUAAGUAAUUAUAGAAAUUUUUAGAGCAUGAUAAAAAACUUUUGGCUGGAUUGUUGCAAAUCAGAAGCUAUCCUUUCAGUUGGUUCAUCUCCUAUUUUGAGUUUAGAAUAUAAAUAAUAUAUUUUGUGCCGUUCCCCGUAGACAAUGCUACUGUUGUGAUCCAUAGAAAUUCAUUUUAAAUUUGGACCAUUGAUGUGAAGCCAGGGUG